rnacentral:tRNA from 1 species
UAGCUCAGUUGGUAGAGCAUGGCGCUUGCAAAACCAGGGCUGUGGGUUUCAAUUCCCAC